UACGUAGGGGGCGAGCGUUGUCCGGAUUUACUGGGCGUAAAGCGCGUGUAGGCGGGUCUUUAAGUCAGGGGUGAAAUCCUGGAGCUCAACUCCAGAACUGCCUUUGAUACUGAAGAUCUUGAGUGCGGGAGAGGUGAGUGGAACUGCGAGUGUAGAGGUGAAAUUCGUAGAUAUUCGCAAGAACACCAGUGGCGAAGGCGGCUCACUGGCCCGAUACUGACGCUGAGGCACGAAAGCGUGGGGAGCAAACAGG
rnacentral:rRNA from 1 species